UCUCCGUUGGUGAACCAGCGGAGGGAUCAUUACCGAGUGUAAAAACUCCCAAACCAUUGUGAACCUACCACUGUUGCUUCGGCGGCCUCGCCCCGGGCGCGUUCGCGCGGCCCGGACCCAGGCGUCCGCCGGAGGCUCCAAACUCUGUUUUUAUAAUGUUUUUCUGAGUAAACAAGCAAAUAAAUUAAAACUUUCAACAACGGAUCUCUUGGCUCUG
rnacentral:misc_RNA from 1 species